rnacentral:rRNA from 1 species
AAAUAGAUACCCCGGGUAGUCCACGCCGUAAACGAUCGAGUGCUAAGUGUUAGAGGGUUUCCGCCCUUUAGUGCUGCAGCUAACGCAUUAAGCACUCCGCCUGGGGAGUACGGCCGCAAGGCUGAAACUCAAAGGAAUUGACGGGGGCCCGCACAAGCGGUGGAGCAUGUGGUUUAAUUCGAAGCAACGCGAAGAACCUUACCAGGUCUUGACAUCCUCUGCCAACCCUAGAGAUAGGGUGUUCCCCUUCGGGGGACAGAGUGACAGGUGGUGCAUGGUUGUCGUCAGCUCGUGUCGUGAGAUGUUGGGUUAAGUCCCGCAACGAACGCAACCCUUGAUCUUAGUUGCCAGCAUUUAGUUGGGCACUCUAAGGUGACUGCCGGUGACAAACCGGAGGAAGGUGGGGAUGACGUCAAGUCAUCAUACCCCUUAUGACCUGGGCUACACACGUGCUACAAUGGAUGGUACAAAGAGCUGCGAACCCGCGAGGGUAAGCCAAUCUCAUAAAGCCAUUCUCAGUUCGGAUUGUAGGCUGC